GCCCUCGUCGUUCAACGGAUAGGACGCGAGCUUGCGGAGCUUGCAAUCGAGGUUCGAUUCCUCGCGAGGGCA
rfam:Parcubacteria group bacterium GW2011_GWA2_38_13b GWA2_OD1-rel_38_13_curated_23, whole genome shotgun sequence.